rnacentral:rRNA from 1 species
UCAAAUUUGUAAUCUGGCGUCCUUCGGGCGUCCGAGUUGUAAUCUAUAGAAGUGUUUUCCGUGCCGGACCAUGUCCAAGUCCCUUGGAACAGGGUAUCAAAGAGGGUGACAAUCCCGUACUUGACAUGACCACCGGUGCUCUGUGAUACACUUUCUACGAGUCGAGUUGUUUGGGAAUGCAGCUCAAAAUGGGUGGUAAAUUCCAUCUAAAGCUAAAUAUUGGCGAGAGACCGAUAGCGAACAAGUACCGUGAGGGAAAGAUGAAAAGCACUUUGGAAAGAGAGUUAAACAGUACGUGAAAUUGUUGAAAGGGAAACGAUUGAAGUCAGUCGUGUUCUUUGGACUCAGCCGGUUCUUCCGGUCUAUUUCCUUUGAACGGGUCAACAUCAGUUUUGUCCGGUGGAUAAAGGCAGGAAGAAAGUGGCUCCCUCGGGAGUGUUAUAGCUUUCUGUCACAUACACUGGAGGAGACUGAGGACUGCAGCUCGCCUUUUGGCCGGGGUUCGCCCACGUUCGAGCUUAGGAUGUUGACAUAAUGGCUUUAAACGACCCGUCCUUGAAACACGG